rnacentral:lncRNA from 1 species
UUUCUGAAACCCUAGGCGCCGCAAGCACCCCGACACCAGGUCUAAACUCGCGCCGCAAUUGGUGCGCCAAUCUCACUACCGACACCCUUAUCGUCGCCUCAAUCAGUGUGCCAGAGAAUUGUCAUCAGCGCCUGAUCAUCGUUGGUCUUCUCGUGAUCACCUGCAAAAAAGGGAAAGAGAUACACAGCAAAAAUGGCAAGAAAUCGAAUAGAAUACACCAAAUUUGUACAAAGGCUAUAAAAGCCAAAUGUAUU